rnacentral:rRNA from 1 species
AACGAACGCUGGCGGCAUGCCUAACACAUGCAAGUCGAACGCCCUCUUCGGAGGGAGUGGCGCACGGGUGCGUAACGCGUGGGAACCUGCCCUUAGGUUCGGAAUAACUCAGAGAAAUUUGAGCUAAUACCGGAUAAUGUCUUCGGACCAAAGAUUUAUCGCCUUUGGAUGGGCCCGCGUUGGAUUAGCUAGUUGGUGGGUAAAGCCUACCAAGGCGACGAUCCAUAGCUGGUCUGAGAGGAUGAUCAGCCACACUGGGACUGAGACACGGCCCAGACUCCUACGGGAGGCAGCAGUGGGGAAUAUUGGACAAUGGGCGAAAGCCUGAUCCAGCAAUGCCGCGUGAGUGAUGAAGGCCUUAGGGUUGUAAAGCGUNUUUUACCCGAGAUGAUAAUGACAGUACCGGGAGAAUAAGNUCCGGCUAACGUCCGUGCCAGCAGCCGCGGUAAUGUGACUACUG